CAAAGACGUGUCCCCAGGCUUGCUUUCAUUUUGACAAUGAGUCAAGAGGGGUGUAAUAUCCUCUUGAACUAAACAGAGAAUCCCUUCACUUGCAGAGAAACAUCACCUUCAUCAAAAAUCCAGCUGUACGAGACACCAUCCUGAACCUGACCCUGACGGCCCUUGCUCCUGAAUUUGAAGACUUUGAGCCUGAAGACUUUGAGCUGUGGUUCCAGGUCAAUUUGGCCACUGUGAUGGCCAGCCUCCAUCCUGGCAGCUUGGCAGUGAUCCCCAGCAACAUCAGCUGUGAAUCCUAUGCAGCUAUGUAAGCCAGGAUAUUUCUCAAGUCCAAAGUCAAACAAUACGUGUUUGCAUGAGGUCAAACUGUGAAUCCAGACGAGUCACAAAAAAUUGUGUUUUCUUCCCUCAGACUCACUGGUCUUCGAAAAAGCUUGAAAUCCCUGCCACUGGACAUUUCAGAUGGUCUGAGAUCGGGCAUAGAGUCAUUCAAGGAGACCUUCCCACGUUGCGCAGUUGCACAUUCCUUGAUGUGCCAGGAGACCCAGGUUGAUG
ensembl:lncRNA